rnacentral:lncRNA from 1 species
GUUAUUUACCCCUUAGCUUUGUCUACAUAAACUUGUUUUUCAAUAUUUUGAACUUUUAGAUAUUUUAUAUAAUGGUCCCUCCCAAAAAUGUGUGUUUCAGAAGUUUUUAAAUUCAGUGCAUUUCCUUUUGAUAUUGUCUAGGUUUUAUUAAAACCAUUUCUUUUGUGUGAAAUGUUUUGACUUACGAGUCAUUUUAUACUUUUUCUACCUAGACUAUCAACCAUUGAAAAUGUACAUUUCAUCCAAAUUGAGCAAAGAUUUAUUUAAGUUGAUUCUAAGAAUACAAUUUAGUAAGCCUAAUUAUUUAGAAGUUGAGAGAAGGUAUAGAAGACUGGAUCUAUUUCAUUUAUAAAAUAAGUAGUUUUUAGAACUAAUGCAUCCAUAUUAUUUUUCUGGAUUCCAUCAUAUCUGUCUAAAAUGGGAUAUAAAAGGGACAGAAGGUAAAAUGUUUGCAUGUGUGAAUUAUAUUUCUAGUAAAUGCUUUGUAUGGCUAUGUUAUAACUGAUAAAAAAUAUAUGUGUGUAUAUAUUAACUUGUUAAAUUAUUUCAGGUUCUUAUGGCUUCUCUGAAAUUGUUACCUCUUAAAAUGUGAUACUUUAAGGUUAUUAACUAUUGAUUUACUGGUCAACACUUGGGCUCAUACCUCAUUUGACUAAAACAUGUAAAGAUUUUUUAUAGCAAGUUGCUUUAUAGUUCUCUGUGAUGGUAAGGCCUGAAGAGAGACAGACUUUUUUUUUUUUUUUUUUUGCCAAAGCCUUGUUUUUAGUCCUCAUUGUACAAAAUAUAAAAGAGUCAUAUUGCUAUGAAAACAUAAAAAGAAAAUCAGAGCCAGUAUUAGAAAUAAAAUAAUAGAAAUUAAAUGUAGAAUUAGAAAUAAAAUAAAAUCAGAGCCUCUUUUGUGUGCUAGAACUCUGCCUAGUUCUUACAUUUCACAGCAACCUAUGAGCUGAGAUGAAGACACUUUGAUCCCAAGCAAAUCUAAGUGUACCUCACUUCCUAAUUCAAUUUAAAGAUGUCUUAUGGCUACACUAUUCCCAGAUACCAUUGUGUUACAGUAUUUAUAUAACCACAAACAUCUCUAAAAUGACAACUAUUGUUUUUUUUUUUUGUACUGGGGAUCGAAAUCGGGCCCUUGCGCUUGCUCAGCAGGCGCCGAAACCACUGAGCUAAAUCCUCGGCCCACUAUCGUGUAUUUUUAAAUAAGUUAUGGGCAAUGUAAUUUUCUGGAUUUUUUUCUUUCUUGGAGGCAGGAAAUUAUCUUUAUGUAUUGAUGCAAUUAUAUAUAUAUAGACAAUUCAGUUAAUGUCUAUAGUUUACCAGGAUUGUUAUAUUCACAGUUGGU